GGUGAGAUGUCCGAGAGGCUUAAGGAGCACGCUUGGAAAGCGUGUAUACGAAAUACGUAUCAAGGGUUCGAAUCCCUUUCUCACCA
rnacentral:tRNA from 1 species